UAGGUUCUGGAGGGACAGAGGAAGCAGAACUGGGUCAGAACCGCACAGAGUGAGACCUCUUGGCUUGUCACCAGCUUUGUGUAUCCAGGAAACGGCAGCAGCAGCAGGGUUCACGUUCCAGCUCGUCAGAAAAGACGAGGAGUUUUAUUUCCUGGCCAGUCGGAGCUCAGCUUGUGUUUCAGUACGAGGAAAACUGUAGAAAAUAAAGUCAUGAUUUUAGGACACGUCACCAUCAAAAGAGACAAAAUACUGAAUCUUUCAACACGUCAGACAGAAAUAAUCAGCUGAACGACUUUAAAAGAUUCAUUUCAAAGAAAGAACCAGACGUGCUGAGCUGAGCAGGUCAGAUCACUAUUCAAGCUUUUUUACUCUAAUUUACUAUUAAUGAAGUCAUUUGACUAUUUAGAGGAUUUAACAACUUUCUUCCAGCAUCUUUAAUCUGUCACUAUAACUAUGCUUGUGGAACUUUCCUUGUAUUUGACAAGAAAUCUCAGCCUGGCAUAAAACUUGCUUUACUGACAUCUGCUGACAUUUUUCCUGUCAAACUUUCCUUUGACAGCAAAUACAUUUCUAGGGCCUGGUCCUAAUCCCCGUCACUAGAGGUGAUCAGGAUGUUUUGGUUACAAACAGCAAACUGGACACAACGUCUGUGUCAAAAUGUCAACAUCCAAGAUGGCCGACUGGUUUAGACCUUUACUGCUAAAAAACAUUACAAAUGUACAGUAAUAUUUUUGCUUUCCAAAGUCGUUGCUGGAGAUAUUUGGCUGUUUUAAUGUGUUUUGUUAUGACCUGUUGAAUAUGGAGCAAAAUUCAAUAUAAAUCAAACAGGUCACAGAGCUUUAUUAGAGUAAGUAGAGUUGUGUGUGUAACAGUUGUUAGUCGUGUAUGUUUGAUACACCGAGGAAUAAAUGUGCAGCUAAUGUGAACCUG